rnacentral:rRNA from 1 species
GGAGUCGCAAGGUGAAAUACCGCUCUGUUCGCAUUGGAUGUCUAACCACGACCAGUCAUCCUGGUCUGGGACAGUGCCUGGCGGGUAGUUUAACUGGGGCGGUUGCCUCCCAAAGAGUAACGGAGGCGCCCAAAGGUUCCCUCAGCCCGGUUGGCAAUCGGGUGUCGAGUGCAAGUGCACAAGGGAGCUUGACUGCGAGAGCGACGGCUCGAGCAGGGACGAAAGUCGGGACUAGUGAUCCGGUGCCGGUGUACGGACGCGGCAUCGCUCAACGGAUAAAAGGUACCCCGGGGAUAACAGGCUGAUCAUUCCCAAGAGUCCAUAUCGACGGGAUGGUUUGGCACCUCGAUGUCGGCUCGUCGCAUCCUGGGGCUGGAGCAGGUCCCAAGGGUUCGGCUGUUCGCCGAUUAAAGCGGCACGCGAGCUGGGUUCAGAACGUCGUGAGACAGUUUGGUCUCUAUCCUCUGCGCUCGUUGGAAUGCUGAGGAGGCCUGCCCAUAGUACGAGAGGACCUGGGUGGACGAACCUCUGGUAUGCCGGUUGUCACGCCAGUGGCACGGCCGGUUGGCUACGUUCGGGAGGGAUAACCGCUGAAAGCAUCUAAGCGGGAAGCCUGCUCCGAGAUAAGCAUUCCGUG